ensembl:snRNA U2 U2 spliceosomal RNA
AUCACUUCUUGGCCUUUUGGCUAAGAUCAAGUGUAGUAAAAUAUGCUCAGUUUUUGAUUAUUUUUCUGAUGAGCACCUUUCUUUAAAAUCUGGUUUUCUAGCAUAUAUCAGCCUCAAUGUUAUUAUUUUUGUGCUUUGAAGUGUUAACCUUGAGGCUGC